GCCAUGCAUGUCUAAGAACAUAUGUGUAAACAUGAAUCUGCGAACGGCUCAUUAUGAACACCCGUAAUCUACCCAGUUUUCGUAUCCAAAAUGGAUAUCUGCGUUAAUUUUGGAGCUAAUACGUGCACCAGAGCACCGCCAGCAAUGGUAGUGCGCACUUAUUAGAACAAGGCCAACUGGGGCAACCCUUUUGGUGACUCUGAAUAAUUUAGCGGAUCGUAUGGUCUUGUACCGACGACGUACUGGUCGAGCGGGUGCCCUAUCAACUAUUGAUGGAAGUGUAUUGUACUUUCAUGGUUGUAACGGGUAACGGAGAAUCAGGGUUCGACUCCGGAGAGCUAGCCUUAGAAACGGCUAUCACAUCCAAGGAAGGCAGCAGGCGCGUAAAUUACCCACUCUCAAUACGAGGAGGUAGUGACUAUCAAUAACGAGACAGAUCUCUUCGAGGUCUGUCAUUGAAAUGAGCAAAAUUUAAAGACUUUAACGAAGUCUAUGGGAGGGCAAGUCUGGUGCCAGCAGCCGCGGUAAUUCCAGCUCCCAACGUGUAUAUCGUCAUUGCUGCGGUUAAAAAGCUCGUAGUUGGAUCUUAGCUUAUGGCGGCGGUUCUCCUCGUGAGAUACUGCUGGCCUGAGCUGUUUCGCUGGUUUUCCUUGGCUUCGGCCUUGGUGGCUGGUGUUGUAACUUUGAUUAAAUCAAUGUGAUUAAAACAGGCGUAUGCUUGUAUGCUUUAUCAUGGAAUAAUAGAAUAUGACUUCGGUCCAUUCUGUUGGUCUUCGGAUCGAAGUAAUGAUUAAGAGGAACAAAUCGGGGGCAUCAGUAUCGCUGCGUGAGAGGUGAAAUUCUUGGACCGCAGCGAGACUACC
rnacentral:rRNA from 1 species